rnacentral:lncRNA from 1 species
CAGUUAAGAGGCUUUGAAGAGGGUAAACAUAUUUUAAUGGGGCAUUUAGUUCAAAGGUGAAAAUGACCACCGAGAUGGGUAGAGCGGGCCUCAAGAUGAGAGACUGACUGGCCCAGCUUUUCUUCACUGAGACCUCUCCCAAUUAAGUGUGAUGGUGUUGCAGCAAUCUGUUAACUGCCCCAGCGAUAAUGUGUAAGUAAAAUCAAUCUACCACCUGCUGUUCAACUUGCAUUUGUGGGAGUCACAGUUUAAACACAACUCCUUGUUACUAUGGGGACUUGGAUGAUAAAAAUACUAACAGACAUAAGCUUUAAAAUGGCCUUCCUGUCAAGUUACAUCCAGUCUGCAUCAUGAAUGGGCUAGAGAGCAGUGAGCAAAGCCCCCCUGCUCCUUAAGAAUAUGGAGGACUGGGGCAGGAGGUUUAGCUCAGUGGCACCAGCGCCUGCCUGGCAAGCACAAGGUCCUGAGUUUGAUCUCCAGUACUAACAAAUAUAUAAAGAAAGAAAGAAUACAGAGCACUGCUCCAAGGCCUGGACCAUGGGAGAUACGAGAGGCAAAGAGGAAGAACUGGUCUUGGAGUUGUGUCCCCAGCAAAGCAGAAUUAAAGAAUUUGCACAAGAUACUGAGGAGAAUGUACAUUGACUCCCUCAGGAUGGAAAAAUUUAUGGAGACAGAAAAAAUGCAAUUUCCAGAUGGUCUUGACUUAUAAAGACUGCAACGCUGAACUUGUGAGACCUCAAAGGAAGACUAGAAACUGCUCUCUAAUUUAGCAGUUCUGGUAUCCUCAGGAAAUCAGAUUACAGUGCCACCUGGUGACAGCUGGAAGCCUUACCAAGGAAAGCAAACCCGAGUCCCUGCAAGAUGAGAAGGAAGAAUUGGGAUGCCAAAGGCGCUCGAAGGCCCCUGGAGGAGACCUGUGGAGUCUCGAGAGGUCACUUACGUGACUCGUAAGUAGACACACUGUGCUCCCUCAGCCUGGUGCCGUGAUCACAAGUAACGGU